rnacentral:lncRNA from 1 species
CUGUUCCAAAGGUGUGAGGGCAUAGAAUGAGGAAGAUCGAUCCAGGUCUCUCACUUACCCUGGUCCCAGGGUGGGGUGGGGGACGCUCAGCACAGGAUUCCACCUACACCGGAGCCAUCAAGCCAGCUGAAUGCAGAGACAGCAAACAUAAGCCCAUGGAUUUUGAUACAUGAUCUUCUAGAGAAUUCCAGCUGCUCUGUAGAUGAAGCACUCAGAAUAUCCUCUGUUCCCAAGAUGACAUUUCAGCCAAGCCUAUAGUGGGGUAUUGCAUCAGAAUAUCUUCUACAAUGGGAAUUCCAGGUGAGACAUCUAGAGGCAAAAGGGAGAACUGCUUAAGAAUUAAACCAUCAUUAGUAGCAAGUAUUUCUGCUUCAAAUGAAUGUUGAGUUAAAAAAAAAAAAAGAGUUAAAAAAAAUCCUAACAGUCUGUGUACCCAUCGCUGAAUAUCAACUCAUAAACCCCCACAUGCUUUAAUUUCCAUCAUGCCAGACCUGUGAGUUUAACAGUUUUCUUGG